CUGAGCCACGUGUCCGUCAGCAGGGGCCUCGGGAUGGGGGGGUACACCUUCUGUUUGAUGCUGGUGGAGGAAACCAUACGUGAAAAUAAACCUGGACACUGAUUGGUUCAGAGAACGGUCAGAAACUCACCAGGCCCAUUGUCUGCAGCAGGCGACACUGACGAGCGUGAGGAGACUGAAAACUGCCACCAGGGAAAUGACCACGGUCCUGAUCAGGUUAUCAGCUGUGGAGUUCAAAAACAGGAGUUCAUCACAUGAGGCUCUUUGUUUCACUACAGACGAUGGAUCUGUCUGUGGGUCGAGGAGAGAACGUACUCCGUGAAUUGACGUGGACAAUUAACUGUUUGGAGCAACAUUCUCCGAGCGCAGUGCGAGCCUUCACUGUGAACGUGUAGGAGCUGGUCUUCAGGUCCGAGGCCGUGAGGCUGGUGGACGUCGGCUCGUCUGAACCCAGAGGAAGAAAAUAAAGUUACGACCGAGGAGAUCAAACUGUAAAGAUGAGACAUGAGAUCAAAUCAGGAAGUCCUCAAAGAUGAAUGGAGAUGAUGCUUCAGUCUUAUCAGAAACACGUCACCUCUUGUCAUCAGGUCUGCUGUGUCCGUCAGUUCCACCGUCCCCAGCUUGUUGUGAGCUCUGAGCGUCCAGCUCCUCUCCCCAGUGGACACGUCCUCUUCACCACUGCAGUUCCCCUGGUGACAUGUAUACGCACUGAAAUACAGAUAAAUACAUUGAACAUAUUGUUGAGGAAAUGUUGACAUCCUCCCCAUUCCAAUAUAUGUCUCUAUAUUUUAUGUAUAGUGCAUAUUCUGUCUGUACAGGAGAAUGUACAGCCUGAGUUCUCCUUUCACCAGCUGCCAGGAAACUUCCAGAACACACAUACUACACAACAUAUAAUCCACAAGAUUAUCCAUACAUUAUUAAACUGAGUAACCACAGAAAAUACUGAAUUUAAUCCACUGAAAUAACUUAUUUUGAAAAAUGUAUUUAUGAAUUUAAUUCCUUAAACAUUCAACAUCACUGAGCUAGAUCUUCCCUCAGUAGAUCUCUGACCCAGCAGUCCAUUAAAUAUGUCUAAGAAUGCUCAUUAUGAUUAUCAUUAUAUUCUCUGAAAAUGUUCUUUGUUAAAUCAGAAGAAAGCAUUUGUAAAAAGAAUUGAUCUAAUAUUUCAUUUAUUAUCUAUGUUCAUUUUUCUGGCUGCUACUUCAGUUUUACAGUUUUUAUAUUCGUGCUUAUCUUUAAACACAAAUCUUGACUUGACAGGAGCAUCAACCUCUUUCUACCUUUCUAAUAAUAAAAAGAAUAAUUCCUG